AAGAGAGUGAACAUUUGGUUAUUUGAAAACUAACCUAACAAUAAAAUAUGCAGGUGGAAGUGGUGGUGCUAUCCCUGUAAUUCCAAUACUCCAGGAACAGGUAGGAGGAUUGCAAGUUCAGGCCCAGCCUAGGCAAUCUGAGACCCUGUCUCAGUGCAAAGGCCCUGCGUUCAUUUCCCAGUACUAAGGAAAAUAAAACCAAAAUGCACACAGGAUCAGGCGCGUCGUUUCUCACAGAGUAACUCACACAGCCUCAGCAAAACAAACCCAUCCUGAUUUCAGACACUUUGAGCCAUGAUUCAUAUAAAUACUCAUGGUAAAGUUACAAACAUUUGCACUAACAUUCAAUACUAUUUCCUCGCAGACCCUCACAUCCCACAAUAGUACAGACCCCGACACACAACUCACUGUAGGAAAAAAAAACUCCCUCACAAAUCUAAUUCCAGUCGCCUCAGAAGCACUAAAUCACCUUCAGACCUAAAGACAAACAUACGGCGCUGUCCUUGCUUGCAACGUGGAGCCCUGCCUCCCUUUCCCCCUCCCGAUUGGUUGCAAACAGUCAUUCUUAUCCAUCCCGCUUUAAUUGACGCGCAGCUAUCCUUCCGCUCCCCUACCCCAGCGGUGACAAAGGACCAAAGCCUCUUGCCGACUGCGGACUCUCAAGCCUUCGGGUUCAGCCAGCUGGCAGCCAAGACGCAGCCUUGCUCACCCGGACUUCUGCGCCUGCGCACUCAGCGCGCCUAGGUCCCUCCCAACAUCCCUAGCGUGCGGGCCAGUUAGUGUCUCGCUCUGUGUACUGUCUGUCAGUAGAAAUAGUGCGCUGGUCUCCGUUAGCCGUUUACUAGAGACGUUCAGGCGUUCCCAGGGAGUAGUCUUGGCUAAGCGCAUUGGUACUGACCGCCCUAGCAAAGGCGUCACGGCGCGCGAGCUCUGGCCUCUGCAAAGUCUGCUUCUGGCAAACAAACCCCGAGGAGGACUGACCCGUUCUUGGAUUUCUAAAUUAUGGCCUGUGUAAGUUACUGUUUAUUUGCUUCUGGAAAUAUUAUCAUGUUAAGAUCCUAGAAAUAUUCCUUUAUCUUGAAAUUUCUUACCUAUCAGAGCUUUCUCCCAGGACCUUCUUCCAGUU
rnacentral:lncRNA from 1 species